AACGCGAAGAACCUUACCUGGGCUCGAACGGCUUUGGAUCAUCUUUGGAAACAGAGACUUCUCGCAAGAGACCGGAGUCGAGGUGCUGCAUGGCUGUCGUCAGCUCGUGUCGUGAGAUGUUGGGUUAAGUCCCGCAACGAGCGCAACCCUUGUCCUGUGUUGCCACUCCCGUAAGGGAAGCACUCUCAGGAGACCGCCAGCGAUAAGUUGGAGGAAGGUGGGGAUGAUGUCAAGUCAUCAUGGCCUUUAUGUCCAGGGCUACACACGUGCUACAAUGGACGGUACAAAGCGCUGCAAACCCGCGAGGGGGAGCCAAUCGCAAAAAACCGUUCUCAGUUCGGAUCGCAGGCUGCAACUCGCCUGCGUGAAGCUGGAAUCGCUAGUAAUGGCGUAUCAGAACGAUGCCGUGAAUACGUUCCCGGGCCUUGUA
rnacentral:rRNA from 1 species